GGCAGCAGUGAGGAAUAUUGGGCAAUGGGCGAAAGCCUGACCCAGCCACGCCGCGUGUGUGAUGAAGGCCUUCGGGUCGUAAAGCACUGUGGGGAGAGACGAAACAGCGCAUCAGGAAAUGGUUGCGCCUUGACGGUACCUCCUUAGCAAGCACCGGCUAACUCUGUGCCAGCAGCCGCGGUAAUACAGAGGGUGCAAACGUUGCUCGGAUUUACUGGGCGUAAAGCGCGUGUAGGCGGACUCGCAAGUCGGUUGUGAAAUCCCUGGGCUCAACCUAGGAACUGCAUCCGAAACUGCUUGUCUUGAGUAAUGGAGAGGGUGGCGGAAUUCCCGGUGUAGAGGUGAAAUUCGUAGAUAUCGGGAGGAACAUCAGUGGCGAAGGCGGCCACCUGGACAUUUACUGACGCUGAGACGCGAAAGCGUGGGGAGCAAACAGGAUUAGAUACCCUGGUAGUCCACGCCGUAAACGAUGAGCAUUAGGUGCAGCGGAUAUUGACCUCUGCUGUGCCGUAGCUAACGCGUUAAAUGCUCCGCCUGGGGAGUACGGCCGCAAGGCUAAAACUCAAAUGAAUUGACGG
rnacentral:rRNA from 1 species